AGCUUCGACUAAGGUUCGAUUCGAGCGCAGCGAGAAAGCGUUGCCGUAGGCAACGACCCGAAGGGCGAAGCGCGCAGCGCUGAGUAAUCCUUCCCCCGUCAUCC
rnacentral:sRNA from 1 species